AUAUAUUUGGAGGGUGGUAGUGUUAAGAAAAUAAAAAAGAGCUCUUAAUUACAUAGUUUCUGAUCUCAUGUUCAGUUCUCUCUCAUAUAUUCCAAGCUAGGUCUCCACAAAGAGUACUCUACAGCCUGGUAAAAUAUCUGAUGCUAAUGCAAAUGAAAGUUUUCUUCACAUUGUGAUUUGCACUGGCAAAAGGGUGUUGUUGGAUCUUUUGGGAAAAGGAAAGAAAAUACUCUUGGUGGGAAGAUCACCCUAGGAAUAUAUUUUCAAAUACAAAGGUGUUUAUUAAAGGUAUUAAUGAAUAAAUAGUUCAGACUCUCCCCUUCCAUCACUCACUUUGUCCUUCACUUCAGUCCCCAAGAAGACAACUAUGUUUCCCUAUCAGUUUCUGGGCUUUUGCUUUGCAAUCUGUGUAGUAGGGAGAGCUACACAAGUGAAGAGAGACUAGACUGAUUAUAUCAGAAAGGACUGAUAUGAAACCACAGCUGAAUAUAUCUGGGAAAGAGCAUCCCUACUGAGUUAUACUUUCAGAUAAAAAACGUGAGUAAAUUUUACUUUUUGCCAUGCAAUGAAAUUUCUCUUUUAGUACCUCUUCAUGAAUCUAGUAAAUAUUUAAAUUGCUUUCCAAUUCUCUUUUGAACUUUGGAUUUCUUUACAAUGUAUUUUCCUGUUGAGACUAACAAAGAGAUAGAUAGUGAUGCUUUAUUUGGGUUGUACAGUCUAUUAAACAGGUCCUUAAAUGCCAGGUUUAUAAUCCAGGAACUAUCAAGUGCCCUGUUGAGGAAUUAGGAAAUAUACUGGCUCAGCAUAAUUUUGGAGAAGCAAUGUCCCCAGACAAAGGGAACUGAUAGUUUCUGUGGAUUCAGCAUCUCUUAAAUACCAACAUUGUCUUUAUAGCUAAAAUGCAACACAGAUAUUUAGAGGUAUCCGAGGCAGACAGUGCCCAGCAGGAAAAAAAAGGAAGUCUUUGUUUUGCCUCAUCUGUCCUUUUAAAACAAUCUCCAUUGGAUUAUCCAUGCAUACUACUGAAGUACCCAGCAUGAGGCCAAAAAGUUUGAAGUCUAUUUCAGUUUUUUAAAAUUGUUACAGAAAUGUUCAUAGCCUCCUAUAAUUGUAUAAUUGUAUUAUAACCUAUCCUUUUGUGUGGAGAUGGCAGUCUGCUUCCAUUUGUAAACCACACAUGUAAGAAUAGGCCCUUAGCAGCAUGUGAAAGACACUUCAGUUUAAUACAGUUUAAUAAGGGCAAUUAUCUCCUGCAAUACCACAGGUUGAGCCUAACGCUGCUUUGAUCACAAGAAUGUGGGCAUUGAAUCUGAAAAAUACAGGGGAGACUCUGGUUGCUCCUGAAAAGCAUCAGAAAUGGAAGGAGUUGCCCAUGGGGAGAGAAUCUGCCCAACCAAAAAACUUUCAAGGGAAGAGACUGACUACUUCGAUGGGAAAGGGACCAUAAACCCACUGGGAUUCCCUGCUGAGAAAAAAGAGACAUAUGCUUGAAUCACAGAGAUGAAGUGCUGACGGAUGUGCUUUAGUUUAUGACUUUGGUUAUGUUUUUCA